rnacentral:rRNA from 1 species
UGGAUCCUGGCUCAGGACGAACGCUGGCGGCGCGCUUAACACAUGCAAGUCGAGCGAGAACCCAGGCUUCGGCCUGGGGGAAAGCGGCGAACGGGUGAGUAACACGUGGGUAAUCUGCCCUCGGCAUCGGGAUAGCCCGGGGAAACCCGGAUUAAUACCGAAUGGCCCAGCAGCUCUUCGGAGCGGCUGGAAAAGGUAGCUUCGGCCUCCGGCCGAGGAGGAGCCCGCGGCGGAUUAGCUUGUUGGUGGGGUAACGGCCUACCAAGGCUCCGAUCCGUAGCUGGUCUGAGAGGACGAUCAGCCACACUGGGACUGAGACACGGCCCAGACUCCUACGGGAGGUAGCAGUGGGGAAUCUUGCGCAAUGGGCGAAAGCCUGACGCAGCGACGCCGCGUGAGGGAAGAAGGCCUUCGGGUUGUAAACCUCUUUCAGGAGGGACGAAGCCACUCGGGUUAAUAGCCCAGAGGGUGACGGUACCUCCAGAAGAAGCCCCGGCUAACUACGUGCCAGCAGCCGCGGUAAUACGUAGGGGGCUAGCGUUGUCCGGAUUUAUUGGGCGUAAAGAGCGUGUAGGCGGCCAGGUAGGUCUGCUGUGAAAACUCGAGGCUCAACCUCGAGACGUCGGCGGAAACCAUCUGGCUAGAGUCCGGAAGAGGAGAGUGGAAUUCCUGGUGUAGCGGUGAAAUGCGCAGAUAUCAGGAAGAACACCCGUGGCGAAGGCGGCUCUCUGGGACGGUACUGACGCUGAGACGCGAAAGCGUGGGGAGCGAACAGGAUUAGAUACCCUGGUAGUCCACGCCGUAAACGAUGGGUGCUAGGUGUGGGCGGUGUCGACUCCGUCCGUGCCGAAGCUAACGCAUUAAGCACCCCGCCUGGGGAGCCCGGCUGCAAGGCU